rnacentral:rRNA from 1 species
UACGGGGGGGGCAAGCGUUGUUCGGAAUUACUGGGCGUAAAGCGCGCGUAGGCGGCUUUGCAAGUCGGGUGUGAAAUCCCCAGGCUUAACCUGGGAACUGCAUUCGAGACUGCAUUGCUAGAGUAUGGGAGAGGGAAGUGGAAUUUCCGGUGUAGCGGUGAAAUGCGCAGAUAUCAGGAGGAACACCAGUGGCGAAGGCGGUGCUCUGGGCCGGAACUGACGCUGAGGAGCGAAAGCGUGGGGAGCAAACAGG